rnacentral:rRNA from 1 species
UACAGAGACUGCAAGCGUUAUUCGGAUUCACUGGGCGUAAAGGGUGCGCAGGCGGCCAGGUGUGUCAGGUGUGAAAGCCCGGAGCUUAACUCCGGAAUUGCGCCUGAAACUACUUGGCUAGAGCAUUGGAGAGGGUAGCGGAAUUCACGGUGUAGCAGUGAAAUGCGUAGAUAUCGUGAGGAACACCAGAGGCGAAGGCGGCUACCUGGACAGAAACUGACGCUGAGGAGCGAAAGCGUGGGGAGCGAACAGG